rnacentral:rRNA from 1 species
AAUAUUGGACAAUGGGGGCAACCCUGAUCCAGCUAUGCCGCGUGUGUGAAGAAGGUCUUCGGAUUGUAAAGCACUUUAAGUUGGGAGGAAGGGCUUGAGGCUAAUACCUUGAAGUUGUGACGUUACCAACUGAAGAAGCACCGGCUAACUCUGUGCCAGCAGCGGCGGUAAUACAGAGGGUGCAAGCGUUAAUCGUAAUUACUGGGCGUAAAGCGCGCGUAGGUGGUUCAGUAAGAUGGGUGUGAAAUCCCCGGGCUUAACCUGGGAACUGCUUUCAUAACUGCUGAGCUAGAGUACGGUAGAGGGUAGUGGAAUUUCCUGUGUAGCGGUGAAAUGCGUAGAUAUAGGAAGGAACACCAGUGGAGAAGGCGACUACCUGGACUGAUACUGACACUGAGGUGCGAAAGCGUGGGGAGCAAAC